rnacentral:rRNA from 1 species
CCUACGGGAGGCAGCAGUGAGGAAUAUUGGUCAAUGGACGAGAGUCUGAACCAGCCAAGUAGCGUGAAGGAUGACUGCCCUAUGGGUUGUAAACUUCUUUUAUAUGGGAAUAAAACGUUCCACGUGUGGGAUUUUGUAUGUACCAUAUGAAUAAGGAUCGGCUAAAUCCGUGCCAGCAGCCGCGGUAAUACGGAGGAUCCGAGCGUUAUCCGGAUUUAUUGGGUUUAAAGGGAGCGUAGGUGGAUUGUUAAGUCAGUUGUGAAAGUUUGCGGCUCAACCGUAAAAUUGCAGUUGAAACUGGCAGUCUUGAGUACAGUAGAGGUGGGCGGAAGUCGUGGUGUAGCGGUGAAAUGCUUAGAUAUCACGAAGAACUCCGAUUGCGAAGGCAGUUCACUGGACUGCAACUGACACUGAGGCUCGAAAGUGUGGGUAUCAAACAGGAUUAGAUACCCUAGUAGUC